GGGGGCAUAGCUCAGUAGCAAGAGCAUUCGACUGCAGAUCGAGAGUUCUCCGGUUGAAAUCCGGGUGCUUCCU
rnacentral:tRNA from 1 species